UACGGAGGAUGCGAGCGUUAUCCGGGUUUAUUGGGUUUAAAGGGUGCGUAGGCGGACUGUCAAGUCAGCGGUAAAAUACGGGGGCUCAACCUCCGCCCGCCGUUGAAACUGACGGUCUUGAGUGGGCGAGAAGUAUGCGGAAUGCGUGGUGUAGCGGUGAAAUGCAUAGAUAUCACGCAGAACUCCGAUUGCGAAGGCAGCAUACCGGCGCCCAACUGACGCUGAAGCACGAAAGCGUAGGUAUCGAACAGG
rnacentral:rRNA from 1 species